ACAAUCCAGCACAGGUAAAGCUUAACCGGCAGCCUGGAACUGAGCUAUACAUGUUAGGAGGUAACAAAUAGCAUGAAGCUAUAGCGGAGGGCAAUCGGUCAGCCACAAUGCUAAAGCGUGAAGGUAUAGAGCCCCGAAAUAACUCUAAUUGCAUCUGACCAAGGUUUUCAUAUACUAGAAGUCAGAACUAAUAUAAACGCGACGGUGAGUUUAUGUUGGAGAUGCCGGGGUCUUAGUACG
rfam:Chlamydiae bacterium RIFCSPLOWO2_01_FTLL_28_7 rifcsplowo2_01_scaffold_94728, whole genome shotgun sequence.